UACGAAGGGUGCAAGCGUUACUCGGAAUUACUGGGCGUAAAGCGUGCGUAGGUGGUCUGUUAAGUCUGAUGUGAAAGCCCUGGGCUCAACCUGGGAAUUGCAUUGGAUACUGGCAGGCUAGAGUGCGGUAGAGGGUAGUGGAAUUCCCGGUGUAGCAGUGAAAUGCGUAGAUAUCUGGAGGAACACCGGUGGCGAAGGCGGCAUCCUGGACCGGCAUUGACGCUGAGGCGCGAAAGCUAGGGGAGCAAACGGG
rnacentral:rRNA from 1 species